rnacentral:rRNA from 1 species
AAGUACCCCGUAACGAGCGCAACCCUUGUUCUUUAGUUUAACCCCGCCAAACGGUAAAUGGGUGGUGGGCAAUUUAAGGGGAACGGCCGGGGAACCAAAACCGGGAGGGGAAAGGUGGGGGGAUGAACGUCAAGUCAUUCAUGGGCCCUUACCGGGCCUGGGGGCUACAACAACGUGGCUACAAUGGUUCGGUACAGAGGGUUGCCAAGCCGCGGAGGUGUAGCUAAUCCCAUAAAACCGAUCGUAGUCCGGAUCGCAGUCUGCAACUCGACUGCGUGAAGUCGGAAUCGCUAGUAAUCGCGAAUCAGAAUGUCGCGGUG